rnacentral:rRNA from 1 species
CAGUAGCCACGGGAAUACAGAGGGUGCGAGCGUUAAUCGGAUUUACUGGGCGUAAAGCGUGCGUAGGCGGCUUCUUAAGUCGGAUGUGAAAUCCCUGAGCUUAACUUAGGAAUUGCAUUCGAUACUGGGAAGCUAGAGUAUGGGAGAGGAUGGUAGAAUUCCAGGUGUAGCUGUGAAAUGCGUAGAGAUCUGGAGGAAUACCGAUGGCGAAGGCAGCCAUCUGGCCUAAUACUGACGCUGAGGUACGAAAGCAUGGGGAGCAAACAGGAUUAGAUACCCCAGUAGUCCCUGUCUCUUAUAC